rnacentral:lncRNA from 1 species
GUCCUGUGUGGCUGGGCUAACCCUGGCCCGUGAGCGCGGCUGGGGAGGUCUGCUCUGUGCAGGUUUUGCUCUGAGCAUGCGUUUGUAAAGCCGAGUGAGGAGUUCUUGCUUUUGGAAGUGUUUGGAUGGAGGUAUCGAGCAGGGCUCAGCCCCUGUGUUUGCUGGGAAUUGGUGGGGAGCAGAGCAUGACCUCUGGGGAGAACCAGCGGUGGACUGGGCCCGAGCCUGUGCCGCACUGGGGGCCUGCGGCUGUGCGCCAUCCCCGAGGUGCUGCCCCCUUCCUACGGGUGCAGCUGGUGCAGUGUUGCCGCGGGAUCCUUGGGACAGGAGUGGGACACGGCUCUGCAGCGGCUGCCCAGACCCUGCUGCCUGCCCAAAGAGCGCUGGGGUCUGGGCAGCACAAACCUGACUGCUUCUUCCCUCAGCAUUUUCUCAACAUGGAGUGCUGCUUCUCCUGGCUGCUGCUGCCUUCUAGACUGCUAGGAAUCCACAUGCUGAAGCCAGGAAGAACAUACUCUGUUGAACUGUGAUGCUGAAGCAAAUUUGCAAACAUCGAAAGAACUAUUUUUAAAAUGACUGAAGUGAGCAAGGGACUUUCCAUUGACUUUAAGAACGGCUGGACCAGACCUUUAUCAUUGUUUUAUUUAUUUAUUUUUAACUGUUUUAGCUUGACAGUGCCCAUGGAGAGUCAAAGUUAUUUUCAGAACUGCAUCAAUUAUGACCAAAUAAAGAUCUGUCAUCUAUUAACA